rnacentral:rRNA from 1 species
UACGUAGGGUGCAAGCGUUGUCCGGAAUUAUUGGGCGUAAAGAGCUCGUAGGCGGUUUGUCGCGUCUGCUGUGAAAACUCGGGGCUUAACUCCGGGCCUGCAGUGGGUACGGGCAGACUAGAGUGCGGUAGGGGAGACUGGAAUUCCUGGUGUAGCGGUGAAAUGCGCAGAUAUCGGGAGGAACACCGGUGGCGAAGGCGGUUCUCUGGGCCUGACCUGACGCUGAGGAGCGAAAGCGUGGGGAGCGAACAGG